rnacentral:rRNA from 1 species
AUUGAACGCUGGCGGCAUGCUUUACACAUGCAAGUCGAACGGUAACAGGCCGCAAGGUGCUGACGAGUGGCGAACGGGUGAGUAAUGCAUCGGAACGUGCCCAGUCGUGGGGGAUAACGCAGCGAAAGCUGCGCUAAUACCGCAUACGAUCUAUGGAUGGAAGCGGGGGGACCGUAAGGCCUCGCGCGAUUGGAGCGGCC